rnacentral:rRNA from 1 species
GACAGAGGGUGCAAACGUUGUUCGGAAUUACUGGGCGUAAAGCGCGUGUAGGCGGCAGCGUGUGUCGGGCGUGAAAUCCCACGGCUCAACCGUGGAAGUGCACUCGAAACUGCAGGGCUAGAGUCCUGGAGAGGAAGGUGGAAUGCUUGGUGUAGAGGUGAAAUUCGUAGAUAUCAAGCGGAACACCGGUGGCGAAGGCGGCCUUCUGGACAGUGACUGACGCUGAGACGCGAAAGCGUGGGGAGCAAACAGG